rnacentral:rRNA from 1 species
AUGGGCGGAUGCGUUCCUGUUGCCAGAGCAGUGGAUCCGAUGGAGACGAUGAGCGAGGCGCCUCCAGCUUCAGGUCCAAGGCCGCCCAGGUGCGUUGCUUUCCAAUCAUCAGAACCCAGCGGCAAGUACUUGUGCUACGCGCGCCAAGGCAAGGGGGCUGCCGCCGAUGGGUUGUUCCAGCUAGACGGCGAGGACGUCACCAGCCCUCACACGAGGUUCUUCAUGGAGCCGUCCAAGGCGCACCCCGGGCUCCUGCACGUCAGGUGCUGCUACGACAACAAGUACUGGGCGGCGAAGCAACUGCACGACGGCGACGACGAUGGCGGCUGGAUCGUCGGAGCCGCCGACGAAGCGGAGGAAGACUUGUCCAAAACGACGUGCACGCUGUUUAAGACCACGCCCAGCGACCGUAGCUCCGGCUAUAUCAGGUUUGUACAUGCUCAGCUCCAGAUGUACGCGUGCGUGUCCAAGGAGAAUCUCCAUUUCUCCUUGCAGAAAGGAGAUGAAGAUUUGGGCGGUGGCUACAUCGUCCACGAUCUGUCGCAGCAGGUGGUCUUGCCUAGAUACCUUGCUUUCAAAGGUGACAACGGCAUGUACCUCUGCCCGCGGAUCAUCGAGCGCCAUGAAUACCUGCAGUUCUCAGCACGGGACGUGGAUCAAACCUUGGUCAACCGCGUCCACAGCAACCAGGACGGAACGUGCCGUAUAUGGUCGAAUCACUUCGGCAGAUUCUGGCGGCGCAGCCCCAACUGGAUCUUCUGCGACUCCCCCGACGGCGCCACAAGCGGCGACGACGUCGACGUGGACACGCUGUUCCGGGCAGUCAGUUUCGGCAGCUUCGUGGCGCUCCAGAGCCUCGGCAACAACUGGUACUGCAACAGGCUGACCACCGAAGGCAAGAAGAGCUGCCUCAACGCCGGGGCCCCAACCAUCACGGCGGAGGCAAGAUUACGGCUGGAAGAAGCCGUUGCUUCCCGUGAGAUUUACGACGUCGUCUUCGACCUCUCGCGGCCUAGAGUCCACGGGAAGACCAGCGUCGUCGGCAUGGCGGCUGCCUCUGCUCUCAACGACGCUGCCUCGGGCGACACGGCUCAACUCAAGCUAGAGUGUAGAGACACGGAGAAAAGGACCUGGGGUUCAAGUGUUACGGUGAACCUUGGUGUCAGGGCGAAGAUCCAUGCUGGCGUUCCGCGGAUCACCGCCGGUGGGAAUGUGGAGGUUACAGACGAGUUUAGUGGACCGUACAGCUGGGGAUCAUCCAUGGAGAAAGAAACAACCAAGGAUGUCGACUACCAAGUCACCGUGCCCUCAAAGACUAGGGUAACAGUGUCCAUGGUGGCAACAAGGGCGUCCUGUGACGUUCCCUUCUCCUACAAGCAGAGGGACACACUGUUGGAUGGACAUCAAGUUACUCAUGAUAUGAACGAUGGCCUCUACACUGGUCAAAAUUGCUUCGAUUUUGAGUUUGUAAUAACCAGCGAGGAAAAUAUCUAA